rnacentral:rRNA from 1 species
ACGCUGAAGAGAGGAGCUUGCUCUUCUUGGAUGAGUUGCGAACGGGUGAGUUAACGCGUAGGUAACCUGCCUUGUAGCGGGGGAUAACUAUUGGAAACGAUAGCUAAUACCGCAUAACAAUGGAUGACACAUGUCAUUUAUUUGAAAGGGGCAAUUGCUCCACUACAAGAUGGACCUGCGUUGUAUUAGCUAGUAGGUGAGGUAAU